rnacentral:lncRNA from 1 species
AAAAACUCUCAAGCAUCAGGGGCGGAGAAGUGUUUUUUUAGAAAAUGCCUUAAUAUGCUAGGGUAUUGGUCUUAUGGUUUGACGUGGAGUUGAAUUGAUUUUAACCUUUUAUCCCUUGCAAAAAUCUUAUUUUUAAUUGUUUAAGAAAAUAAAAUAAGAGUCAUAGUCAUGUGUGUCGUAUCCCAAAAAUUGCCCUCUCCUUUUC